CCUUGAAAAUGAGGAAAGGAAAAAACUGAAAACGAAUUUUAACAUUCCCAACACUGUCACUAAAAUACUGAAAUGUUGAACCGGAAGUGAGGGGAGUGGGGAACUAUAAUAAGGUUACACACAAAGGCUCGACAUCCUCGUGGCAAAUUGAUUACUAUAAGGCGGCGAGAAAGAGGGUCGGGAGCUAUGGCUUUCCCGGAGCCAAAGCCUCGGGGCGCCGAGCUUCCGCGAAAACUGCUGAAGACGCUGGACUGCGGGCAGGGGGCAGUACGAGCCGUGAGGUUUAACGUGGAUGGCAAUUACUGCCUGACGUGCGGCAGCGACAAGACCCUGAAGCUGUGGAACCCGCUGCGGGGGACGCUGCUCCGUACCUACAGCGGCCACGGCUACGAGGUGCUGGACGCGGCCGGCUCCUUUGACAAUAGCAAUCUCUGCUCCGGCGGCGGGGACAAAGCCGUGGUGCUAUGGGAUGUGGCAUCCGGGCUGGUCGUGCGCAAAUUCCGGGGCCACGCGGGGAAGGUGAACACAGUGCAGUUUAACGAAGAGGCUACACUCAUACUGUCCGGCUCUAUCGAUUCCAGCAUCCGCUGCUGGGACUGCCGUUCUCGGAGGCCUGAGCCAGUGCAGACACUGGAUGAGGCCAGGGAUGGCAUAUCUAGUGUGAAGGUGUCAGAUCAUGAGGUCCUUGCAGGAUCUGUGGAUGGCCGCGUGAGGCGCUAUGACCUGAGGAAGGGGCAGCUCUUCUCUGACUACGUGGGCAGCCCCAUCACCUGCACCUGCUUCAGCCGGGAUGGGCAGUGCACACUGGUGUCCAGCCUGGACUCCACCCUGCGGCUUCUGGACAAGGACACCGGGGAGCUGCUGGGAGAGUACUCGGGCCACCAGAACAAGCAGUACAAGCUGGACUGCUGCCUGAGUGAGCGGGACACUCAUGUGGUCAGCUGCUCCGAGGACGGGAAGGUGUUCUUCUGGGACCUGGUGGAGGGUUCCCUGGCGCUGGCCCUGCCCGUGGGUGCGGGCGUUGUGCAGUCGCUGGCCUUCCACCCCACGGAGCCCUGCCUGCUGACCGCCACGGGGGGCAGGAUCCAGUGCUGGCGAGAAGAGGCCUACGAGGCAGAGGGCGGAGCAGGCUGAAGCCGGGGCGCCCGCCACCAGGUCCAGGGACCCAGACGAACUGCAAAGAUGCCAGAGACCGUUUAUUCCAGAGCUGCUGCAGGCCAAGGAGGGAGAGGGCAGCACCUGCAAACUAAUAAACAGGAAGGGUGGGCUUCCCGGGCGGCGUCCUCAGUCCUCGCUCUUCUCGCUCGUGAAAGCAUCUGCCUUCUGGGCAAAGGUCUCAGCCAUGAGCAGGGGGAAGACCAGGGAGGCGUCAGCAUAGACCUGCAGAGGGGACCCAGGCUGGCUCCAGGGAGAGUUCCAGUGAAGACACUCCAGAGCAGAUGGGAACCUGGGCCCUCUCCAGCUUGAGCGUGUGUGUGAAGAACAAUCUGGAAAGGGGAACCUCAGAGUCAGAUUCGCCCUGACACGACUCUUAGCCUCUUGUAGCACCUGCAGCAGAGCAGAUCUGGGUGCCCCCAGUGGCCGAGUUGUGGUUCGAAGUAGGGAAGAAACCCACAGAGCAGCUGCCAUGCGCUCUGGACUGCAAAGGCUCUUUGGGUAUCUUGAAGUGGGUCACGGAGGGUCUCCCUUCAUCCUGGCAGGAGGAUUUCCAUUUUCUGUCCCCGUUCUGGAAACUCCAAGGCUGCAAACCUGUGAAGUCCCAGAUUUUCAGAUCUGCGAAUGUUUCAAUGAAGUCUACACAGGCACAUUAACAUGGGUUGGGAACCAUAAUCUAGAGCUUCCAUACGUAUGACAUGAAUUAACGUCAUUGUACUGAAUCAUAAAUCUAAGUGUUUGUAGGCGUUCCACAUCAGGGGCAAUGGGAUAAAAAUAGGCUAAAAUUUGGGGAAGACUGAACAGUCCCUUUGGCAAACGCAGCUUGAACUAGAAGAUAACGGUCAGGCUUUCAGCUUUGGUGAUGCUCAGCAGUGCUCCCUCCUCCACCCCGGUGGGCCGACCUAGGGACAGUGGGGGGCCACCUGCUCUGUGCAUCACCACCUCUCCAUGGAUACACGCCAUUGUUGGGGACUGCCAGCUCCCUAGGACACUCACUGCAGCCUGUCACCUAGGUCUCGAGUCACUGCCUGUUCCAGGGUCCAGAAAUGGAAGCAGAAGACAGAUUCUCUCCUGCUGCACAGGCUUGGCUGCUUUCAAAGCGAGGGCUUCGGAGUUAGUCUGACUGGGCUUUGCCGGUGGUAGUACCGCUGAUGAUUUUUCGCUGGCUUUCAGAUCAGCUACGCAGGAACAUGGAGAGGACUUGGUGGCGAUCUGGGAGCACCCGAAUGAGGGAAAUCAAGGCUCUGCAGUUGUCAUUAUGGGUUUUGUAAAGAAGUGGGGAAUUCUUUUAGUGGAAUUGUCAGCUGUGAGAGAUUAGAGACUAAGCCUAGGGUUUUUUUUUUUUACUUAAAAGACUUUGGCAGACUGGUGUGGGGUGACAAAUCUGCAAAUCUCUGAGUAAACUUGGUUCCCCUGUUAACAACAGAAAUUUAGAAGCUGUUUCCCUCUGAUAUAGCAUCAGGAGAGUGGGCAGCACCAGCAGAUGAGCCCAGACCUUGUCCCACCUUGGCAGGCUGGCUGCAGCUUCCUCAUACUGACCGCUCCCUCCUCACCCCCGUGACCUUCAGCGGGUGGCUCGCUGGCACUGGAGCUGCCUUGCCCGUGUGGUGGACCAGGAGUGCCAGGGAGUUCACCCCGCCGUCCCUUCCUGGGUGGAGGGGUCCGUUGGUGGGGCCCCUCCCCAUUCAUAUGUUAAGACCCUAGUUCCCCCUCGAAGCUGUAUUUGAAGACGGGACCUUUGGGAGGUACAUUUAAAUGAAGCGUGAGGGUGGGGACUGAUCUGUCAGGGUUAGAAGAGACACCGGGACGGGGCAGUGUGCUGGCCUGCAGUCCUGGGUCCUCAGGAGGCUGAGGCAGGAGAGUCGCUGGGGCCAGGGGUCCGAGGUCAACAUAGCAAGGCCUUGUCUCCAGGAGAAAAAAAAGUUACCCAGAACUCGUGUUCCCCUCUCCAUGUGAAUGCCCCGAGGGAAGGGCCGGGGGACACCGUGAAGGCAGGUCUCUGACCCCAGGGAACAGCCCUUACCACAACCAGCCUCCAGGCGUGUAAGGAAACGUUCUGUUAUCUAAACCACCCAGCCUGUUAUUCUGGUAUGGCAGCCUGAGCAACGUCAGGCCCCAAAGCCAGUACGUCGCCUGUGGCGUGGGAAUCGUUUAUGCCUCGGGCCCCAGAUGGACCUGUGUGUUUGGGACUUCACUGGCCAUUGCAUCCUGGCCCACGCCUUCCCUUCCACUGCCCUGCUGCCUUCACCGCUUGACUCUUGCUCAGGACUGCUUCUUAACAGACCACUUGCCUCCAAAUCCUUGCCUCAGGGACUGAUUCUGGGAGAAUCUGACUUAAGAAGAUCAAGGAUGCAGAACUUGGCCAACGAUGAGCUUGGUACUGGGACACAGAAAGUGCCAGAACUCUGGUGGUUUCUGUUAACAGUCGUUCUGAAUCUGCUUGGGUGUUAGUUAGAUCAGGUCAGGUCAGCUGCUGCAACAGGCAAGACCUGGAGUCUCUGGCGGAGGUGGGAAGUUGGAGAUGGGCUGUGAAACCCCAUUUCACUGUUGGAGCACAUGGUUUCCAGGCUUUGGGGGCAGGUGGAAAAGAACAGGGGGAAGCCCGCCUCUUUCCUCCCUCAGCUCAGAGUGGUGUGCACCAUUUCUGCUCACAGGCCAUCUGCUAAAACUAAUCCCACAACUCGAAUCACAUUGCAAGGGAUGCGGGGAAUGUAGAGCCCAUGGGACAUCUGAGAGCGGUGGUCUGUGCCUUCGGUAGGGUUGCACCUCCUACCAGAGGAAAAUGCAUGUGGCCCAAGCUGAUCUGGAAACUCUUAAGAAGGCGUCGUUAACACGGCUGCCAUCUGUAUCUGUGGGCUCUGCAUCUGUGGCUUCAAGUGACUGCAGAGGGAAAAUACUCAGAAAAGAUUCCGUCCCUACUGAACAUGCACAGAUUUUUUUCUUUGCAUCAGUAUCUCCUAAAGAAGGCAGUGUAGCAACAUUUAUAUCGCAUUUACACUUGCAUUAUGUUCUAUAAGUAAUCCAGAGAGGAUCUGAAUAUAUGGGCGGCCACAGGCCUUGCACGAAGACGGUGCCACUUCAUGCAAGAGACUUGAGCUGGAUCUGGGUGUCCGCAGGAGCGCCUGGAACCAGUCCUGCCUGGGGGCUGGGGACGAUGUGUCCUCGCUGAGUUUUAGGUUGUCUUUCAUUACAGAGAAAUAAUUAGUAACAGAAAACGUCUUCUUACUCUUUCAAGAAAAAUUUAUAAACACUUCCAAAUUUUUGAAAAUUCGCUAAUAAAAA